GUGGGGAAUAUUGGACAAUGGGCGAAAGCCUGAUCCAGCCAUGCCGCGUGUGUGAAGAAGGUCUUCGGAUUGUAAAGCACUUUAAGUUGGGAGGAAGGGUAGUAACCUAAUACGUUGCUACUUUGACGUUACCGACAGAAUAAGCACCGGCUAACUUCGUGCCAGCAGACGCGGUAAUACGAAGGGUGCAAGCGUUAAUCGGAAUUACUGGGCGUAAAGCGCGCGUAGGUGGUUCAGUAAGUUGGAAGUGAAAUCCCCGGGCUCAACCUGGGAACUGCUUUCAAAACUGCUGAGCUAGAGUACAGUAGAGGGUGGUGGAAUUUCCUGUGUAGCGGUGAAAUGCGUAGAUAUAGGAAGGAACACCAGUGGCGAAGGCGACCACCUGGACUGAUACUGACACUGAGGUGCGAAAGCGUGGGGAGCAAACAGGAUUAGAUACCCCAGUAGUCC
rnacentral:rRNA from 1 species